AUUGAACGCUGGCGGCAUGCCUUACACAUGCAAGUCGAACGGUAGAGGGGCAACCCUCGAGAGUGGCGAACGGGUGAGUAAUGCAUCGGAACGUGCCCAGUAGUGGGGGAUAGCCCGGCGAAAGCCGGAUUAAUACCGCAUACGACCUACGGGUGAAAGGGGGGGAUCGCAAGACCUCUCGCUAUUGGAGCGGCCGAUGUCAGAUUAGGUAGUUGGUGGGAUAAAAGCCUACCAAGCCGACGAUCUGUAGCUGGUCUGAGAGGACGACCAGCCAAACUGGGACUGAGACACGGCCCAGACUCCUACGGGAGGCAGCAGUGGGGAAUUUUGGACAAUGGACGAAAGUCUGAUCCAGCCAUGCCGCGUGCAGGAAGAAGGCCUUCGGGUUGUAAACUGCUUUUGUCAGGGAAGAAGUCCCCUGGGUUAAUACCUCGGGGGAUGACGGUACCUGAAGAAUAAGCACCGGCUAACUACGUGCCAGCCGCCGCGGUAA
rnacentral:rRNA from 1 species